UGCUUUCCUACGUCUAUACAUGCAGUCGAGCGACAGAUAAGGAGCUUGCUCCUUUGACGUUAGCGGCGGACGGGUGAGUAACACGUGGGUAACCUACCUAUAAGACUGGGAUAACUUCGGGAAACCGGAGCUAAUACCGGAUAACAUUUGGAACCGCAUGGUUCUAAAGUGAAAGAUGGUUUUGCUAUCACUUAUAGAUGGACCCGCGCCGUAUUAGCUAGUUGGUAAGGUAACGGCUUACCAAGGCAACGAUACGUAGCCGACCUGAGAGGGUGAUCGGCCACACUGGAACUGAGACACGGUCCAGACUCCUACGGGAGGCAGCAGUAGGGAAUCUUCCGCAAUGGGCGAAAGCCUGACGGAGCAACGCCGCGUGAGUGAUGAAGGGUUUCGGCUCGUAAAACUCUGUUAUUAGGGAAGAACAAACGUGUAAGUAACUGUGCACGUCUUGACGGUACCUAAUCAGAAAGCCACGGCUAACUACGUGCCAGCAGCCGCGGUAAUACGUAGGUGGCAAGCGUUAUCCGGAAUUAUUGGGCGUAAAGCGCGCGUAGGCGGUUUCUUAAGUCUGAUGUGAAAGCCCACGGCUCAACCGUGGAGGGUCAUUGGAAACUGGGAAACUUGAGUGCAGAAGAGGAAAGUGGAAUUCCAUGUGUAGCGGUGAAAUGCGCAGAGAUAUGGAGGAACACCAGUGGCGAAAGGCGACUUUCUGGUCUGUAACUGACGCUGAUGUGCGAAAGCGUGGGGAUCAAACAGGAUUAGAUACCCUGGUAGUCCACGCCGUAACGAUGAGUGCUAAGUGUUAGGGGGUUUCCCGCCCCUUAGUGCUGCAGCUAACGCAUUAAGCACUCCGCCUGGGGGAGUACGACCGCAAGGUUGAAACUCAAAGGAAUUUGACGGGACCCGCACAAGCGUGGAGCAUGGGGUUUAUUUCGAAGCAACGCGAGAACUUACUAAUCUUGGACAUCCUUUGAAAACUUUAGAGAAUGAGCCUUCCCCCUUCGGGGACAAUGGACAGUGUUGCAUUGUUUUCCGUCAGUCUGUCUGGAAUGUGGGUAAGGUUCCCGCACAGGCGCACCCUAAGCUUAAGUGCAUCAUAAGUGGGGACUUAGGUGACUGCGUCAAUCGGAAGUGAUAGCCUUAAUCUCAUGCCUUUAGGAAUUG
rnacentral:rRNA from 1 species